UACCUGUCUUGCUCUUGACGAAGGGUCC
rnacentral:piRNA from 1 species